ensembl:snRNA U6 U6 spliceosomal RNA
GUGCUCAGUUUGGCAGCAUGUGUCCUAAAGUUGGACCAGUACAGAAAAGAUCAGCAUGGUUCCCGCUUAUGGGUGACAGGCAAAUUCAUGAAGAGUUCCAUAGUUUA